rnacentral:misc_RNA from 1 species
GAUGAAGAACGUAGCGAAAUGCGAUAAGUAAUGUGAAUUGCAGAAUUCAGUGAAUCAUCGAAUCUUUGAACGCACAUUGCGCCCCCUGGUAUUCCGGGGGGCAUGCCUGUCCGAGCGUCAUUACAACCCUCAAGCUCAGCUUGGUGUUGGGCCCCGCCGCCCCGGUGGGCCCUAAAGUCAGUGGCGGUGCCGUCCGGCUCCGAGCGUAGUAAUUCUUCUCGCUCUGGAGGUCCGGUCGUGUGCUUGCCAGCAACCCCCAAUUUUUUUCAGGUUGACCUCGGAUCAGGUAGGGAUACCCGCUGAACUUAAGCAUAUCAAUAAGCGGAGGA